rnacentral:lncRNA from 1 species
UGAGAACUUCUGCGUGCCUCCUUUAUCCUGACAGAUUCUCAAUAAUUAGGGACUUUUCUGACGAGUUCAGUGGUAAUAUCAAUGAAUUCUUUUCAUAUUGUAAAAUAAAAUGUACCAAUAUUUAGAAGAUGGGUAUAACUCAAAGAAUCAAUAUUUUCCAAAUAACCAGUGCAGGAUGUUAUAAAAUCAUACAUGGAUAAAAGAUCCAUCCAAAGUAUUAGAUCCAUCAAUGAAUUUUAAGGUACUGGGGAAACAAAGCAAAACAGACAAAUUGCGGUGCUCAGGUUCUGCCAAGGGCAGCAGACAGUGAACCACAUGAAGAAGCCUCCAACUAAUGGACUACCAUAGAUCCAAUGCCUCAGAUGCAGAUAACACUCUGGGAAGGCAGACACCACCUCUCUCCUGCACUCUGCCAUUCUCCAGGAUUGGGAAGGAUUCUGGGCACACAGUGUGGAAUAAACUGGUUCUGCAAAUGUGCCUCCACAUCCAUCUGCCUCGUAUUUAUUGAACAUAAUAAUCAAGAGUGUACUACCAUCUAUGCUUCCCUCUCUGCAGUGGCCCUCUUCCGACAAGCAAUGGGAGGUGGAAUGUGAGCUGGGCCUGG